GAGUGCUGUUGCUCCUAGAUUGAUUUUGAUGAUUACAAAGCAGAUUGAAGGGAUACAAUCAAUUGAAAAAGUCCUUAUGCUCUUCAAGGGCAAAAUCAUAAUUUUGCUAAAAUCCUGAUUUGAUAGUACCAUUUGGUAGAACAAAUGAUUUGAAAUCUAUUGGUGAAAAUUUUAUUGUGUUUGGACUAAUAUUUUUGAAGUUAUGA
rnacentral:lncRNA from 1 species